rnacentral:rRNA from 1 species
GGAAACAAUACUCACGUGUGAGAUCUUGACGGUACCGUAGAAUAAGCACCGGCUAACUCCGUGCCAGCAGCCGCGGUAAUACGGAGGGUGGCAAGCGUUAUCCGGAAUCAUUGGGUUUAAAGGGUUACCGGCCAGGCGGGUCAAUUAAGUACAGAGGUGAAAUACCUGCAGCUUAACUGUAGAACUGCCUUUGAUACUGGUUGACUUGAGUUGUACGGAAGUAGAUAGAAUGUGUAGUGUAGCGGUGAAAUGCAUAGAUAUUACACAGAAUACCGAUUGCGAAGGCAGUCUACUACGUAUAUACUGACGCUCAUGGACGAAAGCGUGGGGAGCGAACAGGAUUAGAUACCCUGGUAG